GUACUUAUUUUGGGCAUGAGAUUCCAGCUUGAUUGAAAAAUUUCCUUCCAGAAGUGUUAUUUUUGAAAAGAGCUUGCCUUUGGUAUCCUCGGUCUCCGAUUGCUUCUUCUAGUAAAAUUAGAUUGGUCCACAUCGGUGUAGCGAGCAGUAAUUUAUCCUCUCCCCUGGCCCUAAUAUCUUUCCCCUCUUAUCCCGUACUCUUUCUUUCGCUUCCGUCUCCCCGUCGUUUCGCCACACCGAACAGGGGCGCGACCUCAUCGUUAUCGCUGUCUUCAACUGUGGAUCUUUCUCAGAGGAUUUCUGUUCCAGAUUCUGGGAAAAGACACAUUAAAGCAUUGUUGGCUGGCAAGCAACAAGUUCUCCUCAGUAGCAGUAUUUGUAUGUUUAAGGGAGUAGUGGUUUUUGUUAGUAAAACCGAAUUGGAUGCCAAAGAGGAUGGUCCAAAAAGAAGUGCUCUUAAUGAACCUUGAAUAAAGCAUUAUGUGCUUCUGACUAAGCAUGUUCUAUGCGUGGAUGUAUUGAGCAGAGUUCGCUGUGGGUUUGUCUUGAUGGGCUUGAGGGGAAUGUUUUAUUCUUUAUUUUUUUUACUCACUCUGGUUGAGUCUUCAAGCAGAUCAGAGAAAAUGUGGUCAAUAAACCUGGGAGCUGAAUCAGCUUUAGCCAAGAGCUGGCCAAUCUUCACUGCAAGCAUAUUUGUACUUGUUGCUCUUCUUCUCUCCAUGUAUCUUGUCUUUGAGCAUUUAGCUGCUUAUAAUCAACCAGAGGAGCAGAAAUUUUUGAUUGGACUCAUUCUGAUGGUUCCUGUUUAUGCACUAGAGUCGUUUCUCUCUCUCCUGGAUUCGAGUGCUGCAUUUAACUGUGAAGUAAUUCGGGACUGUUAUGAAGCUUUUGCUUUAUAUUGCUUUGAGAGAUACUUGAUAGCCUGCUUAGGUGGAGAGGAAAACACAAUUGAAUUUAUGGAAAGUCAGAGUCUAAUAAAUUCCAGUACACCUCUACUGGAGGAAGCAUAUGCUUAUGGAGUUGUUGUACAUCCUUUCCCAUUAAAUUGCUUUCUACGGGAGUGGUAUCUUGGUCCUGAUUUCUACCAGGCUGUGAAGAUUGGCAUUGUUCAAUAUAUGAUUUUGAAGAUGAUCUGUGCACUGUUAGCUAUGAUUCUUGAAUUUUGUGGGGUUUAUGGUGAAGGAAAAUUUGACUGGAGAUACGGCUACCCAUACUUGGCUGUCAUUCUUAAUUUCAGUCAGACCUGGGCCUUAUAUUGCCUCGUACAGUUCUAUACUGUCACCAAAGAGAAGUUGGAACCAAUUAGACCUUUGGCCAAGUUUCUGGUAUUUAAGUCAAUUGUGUUCCUGACUUGGUGGCAAGGAAUUGCGGUUGCAUUUCUUUUCUCAAUUGGAGCUUUUAAAGGGUCUCUGGCACAGGAGUUGAAAACUCGUGUACAAGAUUACAUAAUCUGUAUUGAGAUGGGUGUUGCUGCUGUGGUGCACCUUUUUGUCUUUCCAGCGAUACCUUACAAGCGUGGAGAAAGAUGUGUUCGUAAUGUUUCUGUGAUGGCUGACUAUGCAUCACUUGGAGCACCUCCGGACCCAGAGGAGGUUAGAGACUCUGAAAGAAGAACAAGAAUUCGCCUGGCUCGGAAAGAUGAGAUGGAGAAGCGGUUCAAUUUUCCACAGAGUGUUCGUGAUGUCGUCUUUGGAAGUGGUGAAAUCAUUGUUGAUGACAUGAAGUUUACAGUUUCGCACGUGGUAGAACCAGUUGAAAGGGGAUUUGCAAGAAUAAAUAAAACUUUCCAUCAGAUAUCCGAAAAUGUGAAACAGCAUCAAGAGCGAAAUAGGAACUCUAAGGAUGAUAGUUAUGUUAUUCCCUUGAACUCAUGGACAAGGGAAUUUUCUGAAGUUCAUGAUAAUCUUGUUGAAGGGAGUGUUAGUGACAGUGGCUUGCCCAAUGGGAAGAGACAGCAAUUUCAGUCCAAGGCUACAGCAUCUCGGAUUCGAUCAAAUAGAUGAUUUUCAACUUUAUUAAUAGCAUAACUACAGGAGUAAAUUUAACUGGCGUUAUGAUUCUACAUGUUCUACAGUCCACAUCAACAUAUCUAGCAGGAUCUUGGGAUAUCUAGAACGUUAGGUGUUCAAUCCUCAUGUAAAUGUGGAGAAGCCACAUUGUGUACUGUCAUUGAUGAAAUCUGAUUAAAGUUUUGCUGCAGAGCCAAGAAAUGUACAAAGGUUCGGCUCUUGGAACAGGUACUGGUUUUAACUGUAUACUCAGUAUGGAAAGCAAAUAUUUUUACCAUUAAUUGAAAUUUUACAAUUUAUAUAAA